GCGUCCGUAGCUCAGUUGGAUAGAGUGUCAGUUUCCGAAGCUGAAGGUCCCUGGUUCGAUCCCAGGCGGGCGCG
rnacentral:tRNA from 1 species